GACGAACGCUGGCGGCGUGCUUAACACAUGCAAGUCGAACGGAAAGGCCCUGCUUUUGUGGGGUGCUCGAGUGGCGAACGGGUGAGUAACACGUGAGUAACCUGCCCUUGACUUUGGGAUAACUUCAGGAAACUGGGGCUAAUACCGGAUAGGAGCUCCUGCUGCAUGGUGGGGGUUGGAAAGUUUCGGCGGUUGGGGAUGGACUCGCGGCUUAUCAGCUUGUUGGUGGGGUAGUGGCUUACCAAGGCUUUGACGGGUAGCCGGCCUGAGAGGGUGACCGGCCACAUUGGGACUGAGAUACGGCCCAGACUCCUACGGGAGGCAGCAGUGGGGAAUAUUGCACAAUGGGCGGAAGCCUGAUGCAGCAACGCCGCGUGCGGGAUGACGGCCUUCGGGUUGUAAACCGCUUUCGCCUGUGACGAAGCGUGAGUGACGGUAAUGGGUAAAGAAGCACCGGCUAACUACGUGCCAGCAGCCGCGGUGAUACGUAGGGUGCGAGCGUUGUCCGGAUUUAUUGGGCGUAAAGGGCUCGUAGGUGGUUGAUCGCGUCGGAAGUGUAAUCUUGGGGCUUAACCCUGAGCGUGCUUUCGAUACGGGUUGACUUGAGGAAGGUAGGGGAGAAUGGAGUUCCUGGUGGGGCGGUGGAAUGCGCAGAUAUCAGGAGGAACACCAGUGGCGAAGGCGGUUCUCUGGGCCUUUCCUGACGCUGAGGAGCGAAAGCGUGGGGAGCGAACAGGCUUAGAUACCCUGGUAGUCCACGCUGUAAACGGUGGGUACUAGGUGUGGGGUCCAUUCCACGGGUUCCGUGCCGUAGCUAACGCUUUAAGUACCCCGCCUGGGGAGUACGGCCGCAAGGCUAAAACUCAAAGGAAUUGACGGGGCCCCGCACAAGCGGCGGAGCAUGCGGAUUAAUUCGAUGCAACGCGUAGAACCUUACCUGGGUUUGACAUGGAUCGGGAGUGCUCAGAGAUGGGUGUGCCUCUUUUGGGGUCGGUUCACAGGUGGUGCAUGGCUGUCGUCAGCUCGUGUCGUGAGAUGUUGGGUUAAGUCCCGCAACGAGCGCAACCCUUGUUCACUGUUGCCAGCACGUUAUGGUGGGGACUCAGUGGAGACCGCCGGGGUCAACUCGGAGGAAGGUGGGGAUGACGUCAAGUCAUCAUGCCCCUUAUGUCCAGGGCUUCACGCAUGCUACAAUGGCUGGUACAGAGAGUGGCGAGCCUGUGAGGGUGAGCGAAUCUCGGAAAGCCGGUCUCAGUUCGGAUUGGGGUCUGCAACUCGACCUCAUGAAGUCGGAGUCGCUAGUAAUCGCAGAUCAGCAACGCUGCGGUGAAUACGUUCCCGGG
rnacentral:rRNA from 1 species